ACCGGUAGCUAGCUCUCUGCAACUCUGCACUGAAGCUAAGCAGGGCUGCGCCCGGUCAGUACCUGGAUGGGAGACCACAUAGGAAAGCUAGGUUGCUGCCAGAA
rnacentral:rRNA from 1 species